AGGAUGAACGCUGGCGGCGUGCCUAAUACAUGCAAGUCGAGCGGUAAGGCUACUUCGGUAGUACACGAGCGGCGGACGGCUGAGUAACACGUAGGAACGUACCCCAAACUGAGGGAUAAGCACCAGAAAUGGUGUCUAAUACCGCAUGUGAUCUUCGGAUUAAAGCUUCGGCGGUUUGGGAACGGCCUGCGCAUGAUUAGCUUGUUGGUGAGGUAAUAGCUCACCAAGGCGACGAUCAUUAGCUGGUCUGAGAGGAUGAUCAGCCAGACUGGGACUGAGAACGGCCCAGACUCCUACGGGAGGCAGCAGUAGGGAAUUUUCCACAAUGGGGGCAACCCUGAUGGAGCAACGCCGCGUGCAGGAUGAAGGCCUUAGGGUUGUAAACUGCUUUUAUCUGUGACGAAUAUGACGGUAGCAGAUGAAUAAGGACCUGCUAACUACGUGCCAGCAGCCGCGGU
rnacentral:rRNA from 1 species